AAGUUAUUAAGGGCGUACGGGGGAUGCCUAGGCUCUCAGAGACGACGAAGGACGUGAUAAGCUGCGAAAAGCUACGGGGAGGUGCAAAUAACCAUUGAUCCGUAGAUGUCCGAAUGGGGCAACCUAGUAUUGUGAAGCAAUACUGCAUAGCGUUAACCCGGGGAACUGAAACAUCUAAGUACCCGGAGGAAAAGAAAUCGAAGAGAUUCCCUGAGUAGCGGCGAGCGAAACGGGACUAGCCUAAAGCUGUAAAGUUAGUGGAAGUGUUCUGGAAAGGCACACCAAAGAAAGUGAAAGUCUUGUACACGAAAGCAAUACAGUGGAAUUAAGUAGGGCGGAACACGAGAAAUUCUGUCUGAAGAUGGGGAGACCAUUCUCCAAGGCUAAAUACUCCUGAGAGACCGAUAGUGAACCAGUACCGUGAGGGAAAGGUGAAAAGCACCCCGACAAGGGGAGUGAAAGAGUUCCUGAAACCGGUCGCAUGCAAGCCGUC
rnacentral:rRNA from 1 species